rnacentral:rRNA from 1 species
UACAGAGGGAGCGAGCGUUAUCCGGAAUGAUUGGGCGUAAAGCGUCUGUAGGUGGUUUAGAAAGUCUACUGUCAAAUACCAAGGCUCAACCUUGGGCAGGCAGUAGAGUACUUUUAGACUAGAGUGUGGUAGAGGUAGAGGGAAUCCCUAGCGUAACAGUGAAAUGUGUAGAUUUUAGGGAGAACACCAGCGGCGAAGGCGCUCUACUGGGGCCCAAGACUGACACUGAGAGACGAAAGCUAGGGGAGCGAAAUAGG